AGCCGCGCGGUGCGCACAAAGCGAACUAUUCUUUCGCCUUUUACUAAAGAAUACCGUGUGCGCGCCGCAAAUAGCGGCAUACGCCAAUUUUUUUAAAGGAGUUCCUCUCUUUGGAGGGGU